UACGUAGGCAGCAAGCGUUGUCCGGAGUUACUGGGCGUAAAGGGUGCGUAGGCGGUUGUUUAAGUUUGGUGUGAAAUCUCCCGCUCAACUGGGAGGGUGCGCCGAAUACUGAAUGACUAGAGUGCGGGAGAGGAGAGUGGAAUUCCUGGUGUAGCGGUGAAAUGCGUAGAUAUCAGGAGGAACACCGGUGGUGUAGACGGCUCUCUGGACCGUAACUGACGCUGAGGCACGAAAGCGUGGGUAGCAAACAGG
rnacentral:rRNA from 1 species